UCCCUCCUGCAGCGCCUAGCCCAGAUAAGGAAGGGCCUCUUGUUGGCUCUUCCCAUAGUUAGAGCCCAAGAAGUCUACGUUCAAACCCUGUUCUCACUUUCGUAGACUUGUGCCACAAGGACUGAAUGUCCAACGUCUGCAUCUCCUACAAAGGGGAGGGGGUGGUCUGAAAUUAGAGAAUGCUUGUGGAUAGAAAAGGGAUGCCACCUGUUCCUGCCCCUUUUCCAUUUCCAUGAAGCUCCGGUAUAAAGAAAUAUCGACAUUGAUAGUUAUUUGCAUGCUUUGCAAAAAAAACCGUGAUGUCUGUUUAUAGUUACGUAGCUUGAACGCUGCUGAACACCUGUUUCCUCGGAGCAGCUCCAUCCAGGUUGAGAUACAAGCUCUAGGGCCUUGCUGCUCAAAGUACGAGCCAUUGACCAGCAGCAUCCACAUCAUUGGGAGCUUGCUAGAAACACAGUCUUGCACCUCGCCCCAGACAUCCGGAAUCAGAAUCUGCAGAACAUGCGAACUUAACUGCAAUGAGAUCUGCAAGGGAAUGCACAUUAAAGUUGAUGAAUUCUGUUCUCAGGUGACAUCAUUUAUGUGUCUAUUUAAAAAAAAGUACAGUUUAAUUUUAAACCAUACUCCACCUCUAUCUCUUUCCACGUCCUCCACUUAUAUCUAUGACUAGUUUAUUUGGUGCUGGCAAUGCCUUUGUCCUUUCUGCGUUCUUCUUUAUUAAGGCCUGGUAGCACUCCCAUAUUUAUUGGACACUGUCUUUUUAUCUUUGUUCAAUCAAUUUGCACAUGGUGCUCAGUAAAUUUCUGUUGAAUGAAAUGAAUUGAAAGGCCAAGGUGCUGCUGACCAUCAGAUGGACCCAAAGGAGGCCUGUGGCUGGAGCAGCUGAAAUCCUUUAUCAGGAAGGCAGAUGUCUUAGCCUGGGUUCCUUAGAAAGCAGGGGCUAAGGCAAAUUGUGUGCUAAAGCUUUACUGGGGACACCAUGGGAUCCCAGGACAGCAGGAGUGAGGACAAAAGGGAAGGAAGGCAGGGUAGGAGAAAGAGCAAAUUAAUAGUGGUACCUUUAUGAACUGGCCACAGAUUUCCAAGAAACACAGCUGGUUGCUCAGGGCUGUAUGAAACCACUUGUCGGAAACAUCCAUUGGGGGAGGAGGGAAAUAUGAGCAAUUUAUCUGCCAGCACCUUCCUGCUUCUGCUCUCUCAUUGGCCUUUUUGCCUGUCCCACUAGGUGUUAACCUCCCUGCAUUUAGGGCUUAGCUGUCCAGCCCUUCAAGGCAGCUGCUGGAUAAGCCAGAGCCUCUGUGGGUGGACCUAGAGGGGCCACAAUGUCCAGCUCUUUGCCAGUUUUGCAAAGUUUUAUUGGAACAUAGCUGUGCCCGUUAAUUUACAUACUGUCCUCCUCAGUUUAUCCGUAAAACUUAGCCGAAAGGCUCGUUCUGUGUAUUAAAUCAGACAAUGAGUAAAAUGCACAGUGCCUGCCCACUGAUGAGCUCCAAAAACGGGAAGUGACGUUCUUGUGAAUUACACUCUCCUCACUUCGGCUGCUGCUACGAGCACAUCUGAACAGACCAUCCACCUGCCCCUGGCUACCUCCUCCUCUGGGCUCUGUGGAAUACCUGAGGUUCUCACUAUGAACUCAGUCCUUUCGGUUGAGACAUCUGGA
rnacentral:lncRNA from 1 species